GGGGGGACAAAACCUUGGCAAUAAAUAUGCAUAGACAAGAAAAACAAAUUCUCUCAUUGACCAUGUUCAGUAAAUAUAUGUUUCGAUCCGCACUCUUGAGUCCAUCCCUUCUCAAUCAGGAGGAGAAGAGUAGCAUGCUUUCAUGACAAGCCCUCUGGAAUCAUGGUUGGUCAUUCAAAGUUCAUUCAAAACUCAUCAGUAGCCCUGAUUUGUUUGGAUCCCACAGAACAUCAUGCCUCCCCUAGUAUAAUGCUCAUCACUUAACAUCUCAUCUCCAUCCUAAUGGACCCAGUUUUUGAUACCCAACAUCUUCUUUAGGUCCUCAGUUGCCUCUCCCCUAUGAUUGGAGAGCUAGAGAGUAAAGCAGUAAACUCCUUCCUUUCUGGAGGGCUCAGAACUUUCCAUGUUAUGCUUCAUUUUUCAUUAACAGCUCUGAUUGGCUUCUACUUCAUAGAACAUCAUUCUUCUGACUCAGGCACCACCUGGUGGAACACCCCAACUUUCUUUUUAUUUUGUGGAUCCACUGAGGAAAGUGCCUGGCACAUUUUAAGGGUUUAAUAAAUAUUUGUGGAAUUGAAUUACAACUAUUAUCAUGCUUCUCUCCAUUAGAACUUACAUUCUAAUCAGGAAGACAAUACUGAAUUCAUUAUCUUCCUAUCCACCCCCAAACUCUACCCCCUAUCAAACUUUCUUCUUACUAUUGAGGGUACUAACAUCCUUCCAAGUCACCCAGGCUUACAACCUAAAUUUCAUCCUUGAGUUCUCACUCUUUCUCAUUCUCUAUAGCCAAUCCAUUGCCAAGAUAUCUCAAUUUUACUUUUGUAACAUCUCUUGCACACACCCCUUCCCAAGAAGACCAACACCGUGUAGGGACCCUCCUUUUAGUGUCCAUUGUAGUAGACCACUCCCUGAUACCCCAUCUCUGCCUCCUGGCUUCCUUAAAUUUUCAGUUAAAUUCCCACUUUCUACAAAAAGCCUUUACUGAUCUCUUAAUGUUAGUGCCUUUUCCCUUGUAUGUAGUUUGUGUGUACAUAGUUCUUUACAUGCUAUCUCUAUGAAGAUGGGAUUAACUCUCCCCUGCCCACUUUUAGAUUUAGUCACUAAAAGUGUAUACACUCCCACAUUUCCUUAAGUGAGGGGCAGUCCACAACCCACGUCCUAAACUAGGUGACAACUCAGAAACCGACUGCUAAAACUGUGAUUGGAAGGAAGUGGAAGGCACAGGAAGUGAUACAAAGAAGGGUCUUUAAAAGUAGUUGCAACUUCCUGUGACCAGGUUUUUUUUUUUUCCUUCCAUCUUGGCCUUGAAGGAACUCUGGCUUAGGACCUCAGACUGCUUCUGGUAAGACUGCUCUGGGAUCUUCUCCCCUUGGACUUUGGAUUGAAUCAUCUCAACUGGUGAUCCUCUCAGAGAUACUGUUCCUAGAGUCCCAGAGCCCUUGGCUCUGUGUGUUUUUUUUAGGCACUUGGCUGUAUGGUGGUAGAAUAUUGAACACUAUUGCUUUCCUGAUUAAAGACUUGGUUUAGCUGACUA